rnacentral:rRNA from 1 species
GCGGCUUAAUUUGACUCAACGCGGGGUAAUUUACCAGGUAUAACAUGAUAUAAUAUUUUAUCAUGAUAGUGGUGCAUGGCCGUUUCCAAUGGAUGCUGUGAAGUAAUGAUUAAUUUCAACAAGACGUGAGACCCUCAUUUAGAAUGUAGUGAUACAUAUGAAGGAGAGGAUUAAAACAGGUCCGUUAUGCCCUAAGAUAAUCUGGGUUGCACGCGCAAUACAAUAAUAUUUGAUAUUAUAAGGGAUAAUAUAAUGUAAGAUAUAUUUGAACAUGGAAUUGCUAGUAAAUUUUAUUUAAUAAGUAGAAUUGAAUGAGUCCCUGUUCUUUGUACACACCGCCCGUCGCUAUCUAAGAUGGUAUUAUCUAUGAACAAAUUUAUAAAGUGAAUAGAUAGUACUAGAUCUGAUAUAAGUCGUAACAUGGUUGCUGUUGGAGAACCAUUAGCAGGAUCAUAA